rnacentral:lncRNA from 1 species
AGCCUCUCUCGUUUUCCGACGGAGUUCGCUCAUCCUUAAAACCUCCAUUUUAAAUGCUUCAAAUUCUUCGUAAUUUCAUCUUUCGAUUCUCUUAUUUCUUAAGUCUUGAGCAAAUCAAGUGAAGUUGUAUUCCUCUGUUUAUAAAUAAAUAUUUGAUAGACAUUUACAGAUUGUCUCAUCAAUUUGAAAACAUGAGGAUAAAGUAAAGCUGGCGAGAUAUCGUUUCAGUCGUCAUAUUUCCCAUUGACGCUCUGAUUGUUGCUCGUCCACAAUUUCUUUCUAACGAAUUUCUCUUAAUUUACUGCUUCUUUUUAUAGUGUUUGAUUUUAUUUUCUCUUUUCUUUUUGGAUAAAAAAGUAGACUUUAUUUUAUUCCUCUGUUAAAUCGAUUUCAAGAUUAAUGUGCUUUUAUUGAAUGAUUGUUAAAAGAACUCGUAUUUGAGAAGCGUUGAUAAUCACUACUUGAAACAGGAUACAAAUAUCAAAUAAGUUGUGGAUCAAUACAAUAAUUAUUAAUCGUUAAAGUUUUUAGUUACAUUAUCUAAAAUACAUGCCUUGUUUAAAAUGUUGAAAGUUCCGUUUAAAAAGUUGACUAGGUUGAGCAAGAUCCGUUUAAAAAAUUGGGUUGUCUACUAAUUUGAUUUAGGUUUCAUUUAUAUGAUCUGUCACUUAAGUUGAAGAUGAAAGGUUGUUUUUUUCGGAGAUUGAAGUGUGUAGGGGUGUGGGUUUUAGGGGUUCGAUAGAAUAGAGAAGAUGAAGAUCUGUGAGAAGAAAGAUACGUUUGAAUGAUUAAUUUAUAAAAGUUUUUAAAUUAAAUAAUAAAUCAGAUUUUCAUGUUUAUUAAGGACAAUUUAGUAAUUUCACACCAACUUAACUGACCAAACUAACUGACAUUUACUCAGGGGGCUAUUCGAGUAACAAAUAAAAAAUCAUAGGGAGUAUACCUGCAAUUUACAAAAGGUGGAACUAAACGUGAAACCACAAGUACUAUUUGUAGGGCUGUAAACGAACCGAACGAACACGAACAAGGCCUUGUUCGUGUUCGUUCGUCAAG